rnacentral:pre_miRNA from 1 species
AACUUUCUGAAUCAGUGAAGAGAUUUCGCCAGGCACCAACCCAUUAGGACUGACCAGACUUCCAAUAUAAGUGAAGUU